rnacentral:rRNA from 1 species
UGGGGAAUCUUGGACAAUGGGCGCAAGCCUGAUCCAGCCAUGCCGCGUGAGUGAAGAAGGCCUUCGGGUUGUAAAGCUCUUUCGCCUGUGAGGAUAAUGACCGUAGCAGGUAAAGAAGCCCCGGCAAACUUCGUGCCAGCAGCCGCGGUAAUACGAAGGGGGCUAGCGUUGUUCGGAAUUACUGGGCGUAAAGCGCAUGUCGGCGGUCCGGAUAGUCAGGCGUGAAAGCCCGGGGCUCAACCUCGGAAUUGCGCUUGAUACUGACGGACUAGAGACUCGGAGAGGGUGGUGGAAUUCCUGGUGUAGAGGUGAAAUUCGUAGAUAUCAGGAGGAACACCGAUGGCGAAGGCAGCCACCUGGCCGAGUUCUGACGCUCAGAUGCGAAAGCGUGGGGAGCAAACA